UACGUAGGUGGCAAGCGUUGUCCGGAAUUAGUGGGCGUAAAGCGCGCGCAGGCGGUGUCUUAAGUCUGAUGUGAAAGCCCACGGCUCAACCGUGGAGGGUCAUUGGAAACUGGGAGACUUGAGUGCAGAAGAGGAGAGUGGAAUUCCACGUGUAGCGGUGAAGUGCGUAGAGAUGUGGAGGAACACCCGUGGCGAAGGUGACUCUCUGGUCUGUAACUGACGCUGAGGCGCGAAAGCGUGGGGAGCAAACAGG
rnacentral:misc_RNA from 1 species